GCGGUCGGUAAAUCGUCUGAACCGACAUGUUCUGGGAGCGACGAGAUGAAAGCGUGCAGAACGAUGUUCAACGAUGCGUGAGACAUGGGUCGAACCUCUGUAGAAGAGCAUAAAACGAACCUUUCCGUCUUAGAGGUCUUAGGUAUCAGCAGGUCUGGACGCAUCGCUACUAGUCAUGUCCACGUCGGUCUGUAGACACUUGAAGCAACUCUGCCUUGGACGUUUAACUUAAGCAGAGGACAAAUUUCUGCUCUUCUAUUUUCCAUAACAAAGCAUGAAAGACAUUAAAAAGUUUAAAGCAGAGUCAAGGUUAAAAAAUAAGUCCGCGUAGACGUGCUUU
rnacentral:rRNA from 1 species